rnacentral:rRNA from 1 species
ACGAACGCUGGCGGCGUGCUUAACACAUGCAAGUCGAACGGUGAAGCGCCUUCCUUUUUGGUGGGUGUGGAUGAGUGGCGAACGGGUGAGUAACACGUGAGUAACCUGCCCCCUUCUUCUGGAUAACCGCAUGAAAGUGUGGCUAAUACGGGAUAUUCUGGGUCUGUCGCAUGAUGGGUCUGGGAAAGAUAUUGUUUCGGUGGGGGAUGGGCUCGCGGCCUAUCAGCCUGUUGGUGGGGUGAUGGCCUACCAAGGCGGUGACGGGUAGCCGGCCUGAGAGGGUGGACGGUCCCCCGGGGGAUGAGGACCCGACCAGGCUCCUGCGGGAGGCAGCAGGGGGGAAUAUGGCACAAUGGGCGGAAGGCUGGUGCAGCGACGCCGGGGGAGGGAUGGAGGCCUUCGGGUUGUGAACCUCUUUCGCCAGUGAAGCAGGGCUGCCUCGUUUGUGGGUGGGUUGACGGUAGCUGGAUAAGAAGCGCCGGCUAACUACGUG